UGCCUUAUAGUGGGGGAGUAGCCUUUCGAAAGGAAGAUUAAUACCGCAUAAGAUUGUAGUAUCGCAUGAUAUAGCAAUUAAAGGAACAAUUCGCUAUAAGAUGGACCCGCGUCGCAUUAGCUAGUUGGUGAGGUAAUGGCUCACCAAGGCGACGAUGCGUAGCCGACCUGAGAGGAUGACCAGCCACACUGGAACUGAGACACGGUCCAGACUCCUACGGGAGGCAGCAUG
rnacentral:rRNA from 1 species